rnacentral:rRNA from 1 species
UCAUCUUCGGGGGUAGAGCACUGUUUCGGCUAGGGGGUCAUCCCGACUUACCAACCCGAUGCAAACUGCGAAUACCGAAGAAUGUUAUCACGGGAGACACACGGCGGGUGCUAACGUCCGUCGUGAAGAGGGAAACAACCCAGACCGCCAGCUAAGGUCCCAAAGUCAUGGUUAAGUGGGAAACGAUGUGGGAAGGCACAGACAGCCAGGAUGUUGGCUUAGAAGCAGCCAUCAUUUAAAGAAAGCGUAAUAGCUCACUGGUCGAGUCGGCCUGCGCGGAAGAUGUAACGGGGCUAAACCAUGCACCGAAGCUGCGGCAGCGACACUAUGUGUUGUUGGGUAGGGGAGCGUUCUGUAAGCCGUUGAAGGUGUGUCGUGAGGCAUGCUGGAGGUAUCAGAAGUGCGAAUGCUGACAUAAGUAACGAUAAUGCGGGUGAAAAACCCGCACGCCGGAAGACCAAGGGUUCCUGUCCAACGUUAAUCGGGGCAGGGUGAGUCGACCCCUAAGGCGAGGCCGAAAGGCGUAGUCGAUGGGAAACAGGUUAAUAUUCCUGUACUUGGUGUUACUGCGAAGGGGGGACGGAGAAGGCUAUGUUAGCCGGGCGACGGUUGUCCCGGUUUAAGCAUGUAGGCGG